GGAAACGCGGUGAUCAAUCUUUCCGGGAAAAAGAUUUCAAAACAGCCAUCGACUGUUACUCACAGUUCAUAGACGUUGGAACAAUGGUGUCUCCAACUGUAUUUGGUAGGCGAAGUCUAUGUUACUUACUAUGCGAUCAACCAGACGCAGCACUACGUGACGCGAUGCAAGCGCAAUGCGUGUAUCCAGAUUGGCCAACGGCUUUCUACAUGCAGUCUGUGGCAUUAGCGAAACUGAACAUGAACACAGACGCAGCUGAUAUGUUGAACGAAGCAGCUCAGCUCGAAGAGAAGAGACAACGAGGCGGCAGAGGAUCUUGAUUCUUGAAACACAAAGUGUUUACCAUCUCGUUGUAAAAUUUUAACGAGCUUCAAGAAUUCUUUUUUAAGAAGACAGAGAAAGGGGAAAAAAACCUGUUAAAAACUUGUUGCUAUGAUUGUUGAUUGGGGAGAUGUAAUGUAACCAUAGGGGAGAGAAAAGAAAUUGAUGUUUGUUUG